UGCGUAGGCGGAAUAUUAAGUCAGUGGUGAAAUCCUGCGGCUCAACCGUAGAACUGCCAUUGAUACUGAUAUUCUUGAAUGUAGUUGAGGUAGGCGGAAUGUGUAAUGUAGCGGUGAAAUGCUUAGAUAUUACACAGAACACCGAUUGCGAAGGCAGCUUACUAAACUAUGAUUGACGCUGAGGUACGAAAGCGUGGGGAGCGAACAGGAUUAGAUACCCUGGUAGUC
rnacentral:rRNA from 1 species